rnacentral:rRNA from 1 species
UACGUAGGGCGCAAGCGUUGUCCGGAAUUAUUGGGCGUAAAGAGCUCGUAGGCGGUUUGUCGCGUCUGCUGUGAAAUCCCGAGGCUCAACCUCGGGUCUGCAGUGGGUACGGGCAGACUGGAGUGCGGUAGGGGAGAAUGGAAUUCCUGGUGUAGCGGUGGAAUGCGCAGAUAUCAGGAGGAACACCGGUGGCGAAGGCGGGUCUCUGGGCCGAUACUGACGCUGAGGAGCGAAAGCGUGGGGAGCGAACAGG